rnacentral:rRNA from 1 species
CUACGGGUGGCUCCAGUGGGGAAUAUUGCACAAUGGAGGAAACUCUGAUGCAGCAACGCCGCGUGGAGGAUGACACUUUUCGGAGCGUAAACUCCUUUUAUAUAGGAAGAAGAUGACGGUAUUAUAUGAAUAAGCGCCGGCUAACUCCGUGCCAGCAGCCGCGGUAAUACGGAGGGCGCAAGCGUUACUCGGAAUCACUGGGCGUAAAGAGCGUGUAGGCGGAUUAAAAAGUCAGAAGUGAAAUCCUAUAGCUUAACUAUAGAACUGCUUCUGAAACUCUUAAUCUAGAAUAUGGGAGAGGUAGAUGGAAUUUCUGGUGUAGGGGUAAAAUCCGUAGAGAUCAGAAGGAAUACCGAUUGCGAAGGCGAUCUACUAGAACAUUAUUGACGCUGGGACGCGAAAGCGUGGGGAGCAAACAGGAUUAGAUACCCUCGUAGUC